rnacentral:misc_RNA from 13 species
CCGCCCGUCGCUGCUACCGAUUGAAUGAUUUAGUGAGGUCUCGGACUGGCAGUAAGCCCAACCGACUUUGUCGGUUUUGUCCAACGCUGGAAAGAUGACCAAACUUGAUCAUUUAGAGGAAGUAAAAGUCGUAACAAG